rnacentral:rRNA from 1 species
CCUGACCUACGGGGCGCAGCAGUAGGGAAUCUUCCACAAUGGGCGAAAGCCUGAUGGAGCAACGCCGCGUGGGUGAAGAAGGUCUUCGGAUCGUAAAACCCUGUUGUUAGAGAAGAAAGUGCGUGAGAGUAACUGUUCACGUUUCGACGGUAUCUAACCAGAGAGCCACGGCUAACUACGUGCCAGCAGCCGCGGUAAUACGUAGGUGGCACGCGUUAUCCGGAUUUAUUGGGCGUAAAGGGAACGCAGGCGGUCUUUUAAGUCUGAUGUGAAAGCCUUGGGCUUAACCGGAGUAGUGC